rnacentral:lncRNA from 1 species
GGCCGCUUGGGCGUGAUCCCUUGGCUGGGGCUGCAGGGGGCCCGUCCUCCAGGGGCGCAGAGGGAAGGACCAGCGUUUCCAAGCCGGGCUCUGGCCGCCGGCGCGAGAGCGAGGCCAAGGUCUGGGGGCAGUUCAGGGGGACCCCGAAGUCGGGACGGCCCAGAAACGCUUUGCCCACAGCCACCGCCCUUUCCUUUGUCUCUCCAGGAGGAGCCCCACAUUGAAUCACUGCAACCUCUUGUGGACUAUUUUAUCAAAUGCUUUGGCAGGACCAGAGCAGCCUGGACUCUCAGGGAACCUGGCUUGGAGAGUGCGUGCUGGAAGAAGGGAGAAGGAUGAAGAAAUGGGAAGUGAAACUUUCCAGAGGU